rnacentral:sRNA from 14 species
ACACCUCUUUAAUCAAAAACCAGACAUAUAUAGCCGCAGAUGAGAAAAAAACAUUUGCUUGUUACUCACAACAACAAAGCAUUAUUAAAACACUGAGAAUACUAAAAAGCCUGCAUAACCAUGUGAAUUGGAUAAAACAGCCUUGGUUUGGCCUACAAAUAGAAAACCCAAAAGAUUCUUCGAUUGAUCAUCA